UAUCACUAACAUCGAUGUUUUUCUCGAUAGUCUGGUAAUGUGCAGUACAUUUAGACAUAUGAAAAAUGUUAGAGGGAACUACCUAUAAUCUGUGCACAUUACCAAACUAUCUUUAUUGUUAUGUUGAUUUGUAUUGAAGAACAGGACACCGAAGUUUGGACAAAAACACGAAUUGUAUGGAUGAGAGAACAGCGUUUGAAAAAUGAAAAUUGGAUAAUAAAAAGAAAAUGCGAAAUAUGCAUCGGAUGUUGGAGGGAAAUAUUGUAAUUGUUGAUUUGCAUUGAAGAACAGGACACCGGAAGCUUGGACAGAAACACGAAUUGUAUUGCCAUGGAUGAGAGAACAGCUUUUGAAAAAUGAAAAUUGGAUAAUAAAAAAAAUGCGAAAUAUGCAUCGGAUGUUGGAGGGAAAUAUUGUAAUUGUUGAUUUGCAUUGAAGAACAGGACACCGGAAGCUUGGACAGAAACACGAAUUGUAUUGCCAUGGAUGGGAUAAUAAAAACAAAAUACGAAAUAUGCAUCGGAUUCUCUUCAAAUGUUACGCAUCCUAAUAUUGAUGACACAUGAUAGGUGUGAAAAUGGGAUAUAUGUUCAACCUCCUCCACAACGAGUCAGCAUUUUGAAUAACAGAGCGGUAAUAAAAAGCAUUGAAGAACAAGACACCUGGAGCUAAGACAGAAACACGAAUUGUAUUGCCAUGGAUGGGAGAAAAGCUCUUGAAAAAUGAAAAUUGGAUAAUAAAAACAAAAUACGAAGUAUGCAUCGGAUUCUCUUCAAAUUUUACGCAUCCCAAUAAUGAUGACACAUGAUCGGUGUGAAGAUGUAAUAAAAGGUGAAGGUAAUAAGAGGCAAAAUAAACAUCCGAAUCUCUUCAAAUUUUACACUUUGGAAUAUUUCUACUAUGGUAUGUAGAUGAUGGAUAUUCUGGUACCUCCGCCACAAAUGAUCACAAUUUCAAAUUCUUAUAACUCUCAUAACUUGUGGAACAAGUCAGUGAUUCUGUGUGAACUUGUGAUAUAAAAAUAUUUCUGUCAACCAGAGAUCAAAAGUGGAAUUCUGUUUUGAGUUUCCAAUUAAAAUCAGUGAAAUUGAAAUGCUUAUAAUAGCGGUAGUUAACGAGAAAGUUAGCGAUGAAAUCAAGUGUAACUUAUUAUUUAUAUCGAGAUUUUGUAUUUCAAAUUUUUGUCAGUAACUCAAAAAUGAGUUAGAGAAUCCCACUACAGAUGUGAAUAUGGGAUUUAUCUGCCUUAUGGUAUAUAAGGAAAUUAGUAUCAUCGACUUAAAAUAACUUAUGUAGUUGUUUUAUUGAUUAUAGUGACAGAUUUCCACACAACCCAUGAGGUACUGUCCCUGUGCGUUGCCAUUUGUUUUACUUGGUUGGCUUCCCCUAUAGGCCUACAUACCAAGUUCUAACUUCUUACUACUUGUAAUUAGAACUAAUUAGAUGUAACCAUUAAAUAUAAUUUUAAAACAUAUAAUAAAGCAAUAAAUUAAUAAAGUGUUCCUGAUAUGUUGGUAAAAACA